rnacentral:sRNA from 1 species
AGCCACUAUUUUAUAAAACAAGAAACCACAGGACUGCGCCUAUCCCGAACUCUGCGAGCUGUAACCGCAGCCGCUAUCUGAAGAUAUUUUUGCAGACACAAUUACAGGGCGAUUUCAAGUGCUCCAUAAUACAUUCGAUUUCUCGCCCAAUCUUUGAAGAAAAACAUGCCCAAUGAGACCUGUUCCAUAUAAUAUCUAGCUUCUAGCAUACUCUACCAACGGGAAUCAGAGAAUAGAGAGAAUCAGAGAGCGGAGCAUUUGAUAUAACGAAAUACAAAAAUUUUUGAAGUGAUCCCCGCUUUGGGUAUUGUUGUCUACUGGCUGUGCAACUUCGUAAUUUUCCCACGCUGCGGAAUGUUUCUACACGGAAGACGCAUAAUUAUUGGAUUCGGCUUAUUUCUGGAAAAUGUACAAGUAAGCGCUCAGCAUGGGAUCUCCAACUAACGUCUCCUGUGCCUUGAUGUGCCACAUCAGCUGAUCGGAAACUCGCGAAAGUCCCGCCAGCCCAUCAUUAUGAGCAGCUCGAUGCCCGACGAUGUGAUUGGAAUCGGAGGACUCGCCUCUCCCCUACAGCCAUCGACGGCUUCAGCGAUCACCAAAGAUCAUCUGCUGGUGGCAAUGCUUCAGACGAGUUGCAAAAGCGAGAUCUCAUCGAAGGCGAACUCACGGAACAAUCUGCCGAAAACAGUUUCACUUAAGGAAGCCAUGUGUUGUCGUUGACAAUAUUGUGGUGAAUGUAGCCAUACAUAAUGGCCCGCGCCAGCAUAAAGUAGAUGUCUAACAGGAGACAGCCGCUGUAACAGGAUACUGUAGGCCAGAUAAAUCCAAACCAUCUUCUUCACACGGAUUAGCCUGCUAUUGCCAGGAACAUGCCGGAUGGUCCCCAUAAGGCCAUAGACGCUCAGCUCGUAUCGAUAUAAGGAAGAUGUCGCGAUCUAUCGCGAUCGAUACUUCACCCACGAUCGCGUGCAUCGCGCCAGUGGGUAGUACACCGACAUCAUCUUCCCUGCAGCAACAUGCUUUGCCUCAUCGGCUUUGAACGGCCAUAGCUAUGAUGCCGCUGCUGUGCCGCUGAGUCGACAAUGUGGCGUCCCGUCCGCUACAGGGACAUAAUUUCAGCAACCAAACCAAACAAAUCAAACGCUGGGUAUCAGCUUCGAUACGCAGGACUUAUAUAUCCUACGGCGUAUUCGAGACAGGCCGAGUCCCAGCCAGGCAGAAUCGUCUCCCAUCAGGACAGAAUCGCAUCCCCUGCAAGAGCUCGAACCUAACAAGCCGUCAUCAUCUUUCGACCUGGCC